rnacentral:rRNA from 1 species
GACGAACGCUGGCGGCGUGCUUAACACAUGCAAGUCGAACGGAAAGGCCCUGCUUUUGUGGGGUGCUCGAGUGGCGAACGAGUGAGUAACACGUGAGUAACCUGCCCUUGACUUUGGGAUAACUUCAGGAAACUGGGGCUAAUACCGGAUAGGAGCUCCUGCUGCAUGGUGGGGGUUGGAAAGUUUCGGCGGUUGGGGAUGGACUCGCGGCUUACCAGCUUGUUGGUGGGGUAGUGGCUUACCAAGGCUUUGACGGGUAGCCGGCCUGAGAGGGUGGCCGGCCACAUUGGGACUGAGGGACGGCCCAGACUCCUACGGGAGGCAGCAGUGGGGAAUAUUGCACAAUGGGCGGAAGCCUGAUGCAGCAACGCCGCGUGCGGGAUGACGGCCUUCGGGUUGUAAACCGCUUUCGCCUGUGACGAAGCGGGAGUGACGGUAAUGGGUAAAGAAGCACCGGCUAACUACGUG